GACGAACGCUGGCGGCGUGCUUAACGCAUGCAAGUCGAACGGAAAGGCCCGGCCUUUGUGGGGUGCUCGAGUGGCGAACGGGUGAGUAACACGUGAGUAACCUGCCCCUGACUUUGGGAUAACUUCAGGAAACUGGGGCUAAUACCGGAUAGGAGCUCCUGCUGCAUGGUGGGGGUUGGAAAGUUUCGGCGGUUGGGGAUGGACUCGCGGCUUAUCAGCUUGUUGGUGGGGUAGUGGCUUACCAAGGCUUUGACGGGUAGCCGGCCUGAGAGGGUGACCGGCCACAUUGGGACUGAGAUACGGCACAGACUCCUACGGGAGGCAGCAGUGGGGAAUAUUGCACAAUGGGCGGAAGCCUGAUGCAGCAACGCCGCGUGCGGGAUGACGGCCUUCGGGUUGUAAACCGCUUUCGCCUGUGACGAAGCGUGAGUGACGGUACUGGGUAAAGAAGCACCGGCUAACUACGUG
rnacentral:rRNA from 1 species